GACGAACGCUGGCGGCGUGCUUAACACAUGCAAGUCGAACGGAAAGGCCCUGCUUGCGGGGUACUCGAGUGGCGAACGGGUGUGUAACACGUGGGUGCUCUGCCCUGCACUUCGGGAUAAGCCUGGGAAACUGGGUCAUAUACCGGAUAGGAGCCAUCUUCAGUGUGAUGGUUGGAAAGUUUUUUCGGUGUUGGAUGAGCUCGCGGCCUAUCAGCUUGUUGGUGGGGUAGUGGCCUACCAAGGCGGCGACGGGUAGCCGGCCUGAGAGGGUGGACGGCCACAUUGGGACUGAGAUACGGCCCAGACUCCGACGGGAGGCAGCAGUGGGGAAUAUUGCACAAUGGGCGGAAGCCUGAUGCAGCGACGCCGCGGGGGGGAUGACGGCCUUCGGGUUGUAAACCCCUUUCGCUAGGGACGAAGCUUUUUGUGACGGUACCUAGAGAAGAAGCACCGGCUAACUACGUG
rnacentral:rRNA from 1 species